rnacentral:rRNA from 1 species
CGGGUGAGUAAUGCCUAGGAAUCUGCCUGGUAGUGGGGGAUAACGUCCGGAAACGGGCGCUAAUACCGCAUACGUCCUGAGGGAGAAAGUGGGGGAUCUUCGGACCUCACGCUAUCAGAUGAGCCUAGGUCGGAUUAGCUAGUUGGUGGGGUAAAGGCCUACCAAGGCGACGAUCCGUAACUGGUCUGAGAGGAUGAUCAGUCACACUGGAACUGAGACACGGUCCAGACUCCUACGGGAGGCAGCAGUGGGGAAUAUUGGACAAUGGGCGAAAGCCUGAUCCAGCCAUGCCGCGUGUGUGAAGAAGGUCUUCGGAUUGUAAAGCACUUUAAGUUGGGAGGAAGGGCAGUAAGUUAAUACCUUGCUGUUUUGACGUUACCAACAGAAUAAGCACCGGCUAACUUCGUGCCAGCAGCCGCGGUAAUACGAAGGGUGCAAGCGUUAAUCGGAAUUACUGGGCGUAAAGCGCGCGUAGGUGGUUCAGCAAGUUGGAUGUGAAAUCCCCGGGCUCAACCUGGGAACUGCAUCCAAAACUACUGAGCUAGAGUACGGUAGAGGGUGGUGGAAUU